GGGGUGCGAGGGGCCCGCGGCCGCCGCAGAAGUUGGGCCGAGAGCCGGCGACGGCCCCGCGCCGGGGUCGCAGGGGGCCAGGAUGUGCAGAGUUCCUGGGACCGCCUUCUGGAUGUCGCCAGCCCUGGGCAGGCAUCGGUGUUGUGGUGGGACCGUGGACGUCAAGACCGGAACCUCCAGAACCAGCCUCUUGAGGGCCACUUCAAGGAACUUUCUUGUGGGAUAGUGACAGAUUUGACUUCUGCGUGUGCUCUGCUGCUUCAGCGAGGCCACUGAGGGAGUCAGGACUCUGAAGACCCUUUUGUGGUGCCCAGCAACAUGCCCCUCGGAGAGGUGGGGGUUCCCUGGGGCCUGCCCUCGCUGUUGGCUGUUCUCAAGUUCACCGUGAAGAUCUUGUGGUCGUGGAGCAUGCCCAGAGCAGCCUCUCGGCCCACAGAUGCCAGCAUGCUUGUGGCAGGCCUUGUCCUCUCUCCCAGUUGGGGGGGUGGGGGGCAGGAGAAGGCUGGACUUGGACUCCCCUUCCGAGGGACCCUGCCCUAACUAACGGUUGUGUGGUGUACUGAGUGUCACAUCCAGCAGCCUGGGCGCAGCCGGGUUCUGGGGGUGGCAGGGAGGCUGUCGAUGGCUUUGGGGUUGAGAACUAGCAGAGCUGCCACCAGGCAGUGACGUAGUGUCUGACCCUCGUUGGACCCUCGUGCUCUCAGCCAGCCCCAGAGGGCGCUUCCGUGCUGGGGUCAACGGGAACUCCAACUCAUCUCAGGCAGGGUGCUGACCCUUUCCCUCAACACAGUCCGGCCCUGCAGGUGACAGCGAGGCCGGCUGUCCCGCACCCCGUCUAGUCCUGCCGCAGCUCUAGGGAGCUGGCUGGUCUGGCCCAGUCCUGCCCCGCCAUCGGCUGCUAAGGGGGAGCCAGGCCUUUUCUCACCGCGGCACAUAUCACACAGGUGUUUUCAAAGUACAGUUAAAAACUCAGAAGUAAACUUUCCAGCAACUUAAA